UACGUAGGGGGCUAGCGUUGUCCGGAUUUAUUGGGCGUAAAGGGCUCGUAGGCGGCCAACUAAGUCAGACAUGAAAUCCCUCGGCUUAACCGGGGAACUGCGUCUGAUACUGGAUGGCUUGAGAUUGGGAGAGGGAUGCGGAAUUCCAGGUGUAGCGGUGAAAUGCGUAGAUAUCUGGAGGAACACCGGUGGCGAAGGCGGCAUCCUGGACCAACACUGACGCUGAGUGAGCGAAAGCCAGGGGAGCAAACGGG
rnacentral:rRNA from 1 species